UCCGCCCUAGGCAGAAGCUGCUGGAAAGGGGAAAGAUAGAGAGCAUGAGAACUGAAGCAUGAGCCACAUGUUGCUCAAAUCUUUGAUAAAGUUUGGAUUUUUGAGAGGUUUAUUCGAGAAAUACACCUGGAAGAUAAAACUGCCAUCCGGUCAUCAUCCGGUGAAAAUCUGAAGGAGAUUAAAAUAUAUUUUUGUUAUAUGAGGGAAUCGGCCAGUUUUGUUGUCUGAGAAAUCAGAUUCUGGAUCUCUUUACUGUGGACUGCAUUAAUCUGGAACUUCGAAUGUGCAUCGUGUAAGAUGGCGAGCCACCAUGAGACACCUACUUUUCUUCUGUUGAUAUCUGCGUUGCAAUUUCUACAAAUUGUUUCACUGGAUUAUUGAAGGUUUGAUUAUUGAAGCACUGGAAUAUUCAUUCUAAGGAACUGAGGAAAGAGAAAUUAUU